rnacentral:lncRNA from 1 species
GGAGUUGGAAGCCAUCUUCUCAAUCAAUUGCGUGGCCUCAGCAGGUGUGGUGUCUCCAAGAGCUCCACCACUGGCAGCAUCAAGCAUACCCCUAUCCAUGUUGUUCAAACCCUCAUAGAAAUAUUGGAUAAGGAGUUGUUCAGGUAUCUGAUGGUAGGGACAGCUUGCACAAAGUGUCUUGAAUCUCUCCCAAUACUCAUAUAAGCUCUCGCCACCAAGC